GCAAAUGCUGGGAACGGGAAGAGUAGGUCCUUGUGCCUGCCUAUAAGAGAGGAAAGGUCAGCGGCUGAGAGCCUUUCCAGGUUAGGAUGGACUGAAGUGCGCCCGGGAGCAGGUGGGCUGAAUCGAAAGCAAAAGGACUCACGAAGUAAGUCCACCCGGUUAGGCACCGUUAGAGCUAUCGAGGAGGGACACGAAUGUGUCCAAACAGAGUGGAACCGCGGGCUUGCCGUCUCUGUA
rnacentral:ncRNA from 1 species